rnacentral:lncRNA from 1 species
UUGUAUAACUCUUGAAUUGCUAAACUAUAAUUGCUAUUUGCUAAAUAUUGAAUGGAAGAGAGCAGAAUUGCUAGAAGAGAGAAUAAAUAGGAGUAGAGAGAUUAGAGAGGGAGAGGAUUGGUUUAAUGAAUUGGUGUGGUGAGAAUGAAGGAGGAGGGUCCUUUUUAUAGAAACUCUAAAACUUUUAUUUUUUCAAAAUAUCCUUCAAUCUAGCCAUCUUUUGGCUAUUGGAGGGGUCA